rnacentral:rRNA from 1 species
AGAGUUUGAUCAUGGCUCAGAUUGAACGCUGGCGGCAUGCCUUACACAUGCAAGUCGAACGGUAACGCGGGGCAACCUGGCGACGAGUGGCGAACGGGUGAGUAAUGCAUCGGAACGUGCCCAGUAGUGGGGGAUAGCCCGGCGAAAGCCGGAUUAAUACCGCAUACGACCUACGGGUGAAAGCGGGGGACCGCAAGGCCUCGCGCUAUUGGAGCGGCCGAUGUCAGAUUAGGUUGUUGGUGGGGUAAAGGCCUACCAAGCCGACGACCUGUAGCUGGUCUGAGAGGACGACCAGCCACACUGGGACUGAGACACGGCCCAGACUCCUACGGGAGGCAGCAGUGGGGAAUUGUUCGCAAUGGGCGCAAGCCUGACGACGCAACGCCGCGUGGAGGAUGAAGAUCUUCGGGUCGUAAACUCCUGUCGAAUGGGACGAAUGGCUCGGUCGUGAAUAACGAUCGGGAAUGACGGUACCGUGAGAGGAAGCCCCGGCUAACUCCGUGCCAGCAGCCGCGGUAAUACGGGGGGGGCAAGCGUUGUUCGGAAUUACUGGGCGUAAAGGGCUCGUAGGUGGCCUGCUACGUUGGACGUGAAAUCCCUCGGCUCAACCGGGGAACUGCGUCCAAGACUGGCAGGCUUGAAUCCGGGAGAGGGACGUGGAAUUCCAGGUGUAGCGGUGAAAUGCGUAGAUAUCUGGAGGAACACCGGUGGCGAAGGC